GGAAUCGUUAUAGACCCCUAGGAGAUGACUAGGUUGAUAGGUGCUAGGUGUACGCACAGUAAUGUGUUUAGCCGAGGCAUACUAAUUGGUCAAUCCUGUCGGGAAA
rnacentral:rRNA from 1 species